AGAGGACAUGUCUGGGGAAAAGUGGACGUCUGGUCACCCUAACUAAGAAUGCGGGCGUUUGGCCGGCAACGGGUAAUCCCGGUGAGAGCAGAGAACGAGGCCGAGGGAGAGGCACCAGACAGCAGGCAGCUAACGUCAAACAGGAGGCUGGGUAAAGUAGAGGUUAUUACUGUGCAUAAAUGCAAUGCAUUGCCGUAGGGGGAUGCGUCACAUGCUAAUCUCAACGGCUUCUUUGUGUCAUAAUGAACCAGGACAGUGCUGCUCAGUAAGAUCUCUUUUCCUUUCUUGAAGGCUUCCUCACAUGCCGGUGUCCAGCUCCACUUUUCCUCCCUCUUUAGUAGAGCAUGUGUAACCAGGGUUUGAAAACUGUUCAUAAGUAAAUUAGAUAAAUCGUAACAUUUUCCCUGUCUAACCAGGAAAAGAGUUCAUCUUUUCCUUAAUAGUCAAUCUUUGUCACCCCAUGCACGGAGAUUUAUUUAAGUGAUCAUCUGUCUCUAUAUAGAUAGGAGUAAGUUAAGAGUGAGCAGAAAACCGAUGAUUCAUCGAAAAAUUAGCAACUUUAAUUUAAGUAUUGAGCCAUGAGCCAUUCAACGUCGGGAGUUUUGGGGAAGAUGAUAAAACCUUUGAACAUUUGAUAUCCUGGUGAGUUGACUGAAGUUCGAUGCGUUUACCGUUAGCUGUGUUAGCAAGAAUGCUCAACGAUAUUUUGUUUUUUUGUAAAGUUGUCUACUGUAUUAAAACCAGUCAGGAAGGGAAUUAGAAAGGGGUACAACGGUACAUUUAUGAAUGUGUAAUGGAUAUAAUUGAAUGACCUGAGCUGCUAAUGGUAAUUACUUGUUAUAUUGUGUGUGAUGUUUUAGCCAUGCGGCUUGCAGGCCUAGUUGGAUCGGUAUUGAAUUGUUGUCCUGCACGUGUGCAUAGGCUGUAUUUUUUGGAUAGCUCCAUCACUGGAACCAGAAGUACGGUCCGGUCUGCCACCACAUCUUCAUCCAUCCACCACCAAGAGGACCCUCACAUCGGACGUCACAGUGCGCCUGGAGUCCCUUUGACUUGACUUUGGUUGUGAACAGAAGGGUGGUAGGACACUCUUUUUUGGACAAUACUCCUUCUUUUACACGUUUUUUUCCGAAUCAAACUUAUUCCAGAGAUCUCAGAGGUUUUCUUUAUUUUUUAUAUUACCUGCUUGGACAUUCUUUUGAUGUAUGGAAUCGUGCAUUUGCUGCAGAAAUGAUUGUCUAAUUGUGUUAUAAAUAAAUCUGUUGUGUUAAGCGUAA